UACGGAGGGUGCAAGCGUUGUCCGGAAUUACUGGGCGUAAAGCGCGUGUAGGCGGUUGUUCAAGUCAGGGGUGAAAGCCUUGAGCUCAACUCAAGAAAUGCACUUGAUACUGGAUGACUAGAGGACCGGAGAGGAUAGUGGAAUUCCCAGUGUAGUGGUGAAAUACGUAGAGAUUGGGAAGAACACCGGUGGCGAAGGCGGCUCACUGGCUCGUAUCUGACGCUCAGGCGCGACAGCGUGGGGAUCAAACAGG
rnacentral:rRNA from 1 species